rnacentral:lncRNA from 1 species
CAGCGGCGAAGAAGAAGAGAGCACGAAGCCGAGAGAUCGAGCGCUCGAUCUAAUCGUAGGGCUUCCGAUUUGAGACACCACGGCUAGCCUUGCAGCCGACCGGCGGGCAACCGACCGCCACCUCAACCCCCACGGCCGCCACCAACAAGUGGAGCGCCGCCGGGCUACCGACGAGGCCCUCCGCCUCCCCCUAGACAAGCAGCGCAGCCCCGCCCCACACGGCGGCCGCGGCGCCCUCCCCUCCGCCGGCGGCCACCCCUCCGACCUCCUCUUCCUUGCCGGCGGCGGCCCUCUAUCUGCCCUCCUCUUUCCCCGCUCUUAAUUGACCUGUUCCUCCCUCAUCUACGUAUCGAUAGAGUUGUAUAGAGAUGCUGACCAUCAAGAGGGUCCCCACCGUAUUUUCCAACUACCAGGAGGACGCCGCCGAGCCCCGCGGCUGCGGCCGGAACUGCCUCGGCAAGUGCUGCUUGCCCGGUAAAGACACCUAACCCAUCAUCUUGAUCUAAUCAACGAAGUCCCUUCAUCAAAAUCCCUUUUUUACUGAAUUUUUGAGUUUUUUUUUUGGGUAGCAGUCUCAAAACUUCCCCUUUAUGCCUUCAAAAGCGACUCGAAGCCGCCGGUUUCUCCCUCUGGCGCCACCGAGGAUCCACCGGCCGACUUUUUCCUCAACGCCCUUUUGCUUGGACAGGUAUUCGUCAUAUAUGAACCCUCAAAAUUUGAUCUUUUUGUUGUCUUCGAUUUUUCUUAUGUGUUUUAGUGAUGUGCUUGUUAUUGGUUUGUUGAUUUUCGGGUGGGGGGUUUGUAGUGGGAAGAUCGGAUGAGCCGGGGGUUGUUCCGGUAUGAUGUGACGGCCUGCGAAACCAAGGUGAUCCCUGGGGAGCAAGGGUUCAUUGCCCAGCUGAACGAGGGCCGCCACCUCAAGAAACGGCCCGCCGAGUUCCGGGUCGACCGCGUCCUCCAGCCAUUUGAUCCUGCCAAGUUUAACUUCACCAAGGUUGGCCAGGAGGAGGUGCUGUUCCGCUUCGAGGCCGGGGGAGCCGACAAGAGUCGCUUCUUUGAGAGUGCCUCUGUUGAUGAAGCCAACCCUCCUAGCGUCGUCGCAAUCAAUGUAAGAGGCCAUUUUUUGGUGUAUUCAUCUUAGUUUGGCUUUUCGUAUCCGGCUAUAUGAUAUUACUGUUGAUAUUUCUAAUGGUUGCAGGUAAGUCCUAUUGAGUAUGGUCAUGUGCUGCUGAUCCCGCGUGUGCUCGACUGCUUGCCUCAGAGGAUCGACACCGAGAGCUUCUUGCUUGCCCUCCAUAUGGCAGCAGAAGCAGGGAACCCUUACUUCAGGCUGGGAUACAAUAGUUUGGGUGCCUUUGCCACUAUUAAUCACCUGCAUUUCCAGGUCACUACUUCUUCCUGCCUUACUUGUUCUUUCCCAUGGGGUGACUGCUUAUGAUCGCUAUUUUAUUUGCAUGGAGUAUGAAUUAUUGAUUACAUUGAUAAUGGAAUGCUUUCAAUUGUAUGGCGACAGGCCGGCGAAGAAGAAGAGAGCACGAAGCCGAGAGAUCGAGCGCUCGAUCUAAUCGUAGGGCUUCCGAUUUGAGACACCACGGCUAGCCUUGCAGCCGACCGGCGGGCAACCGACCGCCACCUCAACCCCCACGGCCGCCACCAACAAGUGGAGCGCCGCCGGGCUACCGACGAGGCCCUCCGCCUCCCCCUAGACAAGCAGCGCAGCCCCGCCCCACACGGCGGCCGCGGCGCCCUCCCCUCCGCCGGUGGCCACCCCUCCGACCUCCUCUUCCUUGCCGGCGGCGGCCCUCUAUCUGCCCUCCUCUUUCCCCGCUCUUAAUUGACCUGUUCCUCCCUCAUCUACGUAUCGAUAGAGUUGUAUAGAGAUGCUGACCAUCAAGAGGGUCCCCACCGUAUUUUCCAACUACCAGGAGGACGCCGCCGAGCCCCGCGGCUGCGGCCGGAACUGCCUCGGCAAGUGCUGCUUGCCCGUCUCAAAACUUCCCCUUUAUGCCUUCAAAAGCGACUCGAAGCCGCCGGUUUCUCCCUCUGGCGCCACCGAGGAUCCACCGGCCGACUUUUUCCUCAACGCCCUUUUGCUUGGACAGUGGGAAGAUCGGAUGAGCCGGGGGUUGUUCCGGUAUGAUGUGACGGCCUGCGAAACCAAGGUGAUCCCUGGGGAGCAAGGGUUCAUUGCCCAGCUGAACGAGGGCCGCCACCUCAAGAAACGGCCCGCCGAGUUCCGGGUCGACCGCGUCCUCCAGCCAUUUGAUCCUGCCAAGUUUAACUUCGUGCUAUGCUGAAAAACAGGCUCUUGGUGAAGUGAGCCAGGAGCUCUUGGAUACUCAAGUGAACCCUGCUGUAUGGGAGAUCAGCGGGCACAUGGUGCUGAAGCAAAAGAAAGAUUAUGAAGAGGCAUCAGAGGACUAUGCUUGGAGGCUGCUGGCUGAGGUCUCCCUCUCUGAAGAAAGGUUUCAAGAAGUCAAAGCUUGUAUCUUUGAAGCCACAGGUUUGGUGGAGGCCGAAGUGGAAGAUACAGAUGCGAACGAGAAUAAAGGAACUUAUCAGUCUACCACAGCUUCCAAUACUCAUUUCCCAGAAGGCUGUCUGGUUCUACAAUGAAUGAUGAGCCUUCAUCUGCUACUGCUGUUUGCUUUCGCUUGCUUGCUUCUGUACCAAAUAAGGGCCGUUAUGGUGCUGUUUUGUGCAGGAACGUUGCCUGAGGACUUGUUUUUCUUCAGUGUGUGCUCUUUGUUGUUGGCUUAUGUUCCAAUUUUCAGACUGCCAAGCAGAUGCUGAAUCUAUUGUUUGUUUUCAACCCAUAUCUAGUUCUAUCAUGUUCUCGUUCUCAUUGAUGUUUCUAAUGAAGUCUAUGGGCCUAAAAUGAGUACCAAGACAACUAGUGAGAGCAUGUAAAAAUGAGUACCGAGAUGUUUGACACAAUUUGAAAAGCUAGUGAUUACGGCCAACCACUUUUGAUCGAUAGAAUCGUGGUUCUUUUCCAACCUGUGCGUAAAGUCUGCGCGUAAUGAAGAUAGGAGAAGUGAGGGAGUUCUAUUUUGUCCAUUUUCAAUUCAGUAUGGUUCUGUCCCUUCUGUAAUGUCAGAUGAAUAAAUAUACUAAUUCUGCUUUAUUGCUUGUCGGUGCCGUUCCCGGUGGAGAAGGCUACAACAAAAAAGAUACCAAUAGCUAAGGGCCUGGCUGAUGGUGGUGUGAAAAUCUCACUAUUGAUGAAUUAUCCUGUGAGAGGCCUGGUUUAUGAGGGUGGGAACACCUUGAAGGACCUAGCUGAUGUGGUAGCCAACUCCUGCAUUUGCCUUCAAGAAAGUAACAUACCAUUUAAUGUGCUUAUUUCUGACUCAGGCAGAAGAAUCUUUCUUUUUCCACAGGUAAAUGUUAUCUUGCUAUUGCAUAUUCACCUCUAUGAUGGUUUUAUUGUUCUUCCAUGCUGUCCAUGGUUCUGAAAUUUCGUGCUCAGUUUUGGUUCCAUAGGCAUAACCAACAAACAAGAGUAUGCCAGUUUUAAUUUGUGAAAGUAGGUUUAUCAACUUAAAUGAUUUGAUGACUUGUGUAUAGUUUUGGUUCUCUUAACUAUACUAGGCAUAGUAGUCAUAAGUUGAUGGGUUAAUUUUUUUUAAGGAUGGCUAGGAAUUGUUUAUCAAACAUUUAUUGCCAUUACCUGUAUGUGGAAGAGGGUGAUCUCUCGGUAUUCUAAUUUAUUGCCAGGAGCUCUUGGAUACUCAAGUGAACCCUGCUGUAUGGGAGAUCAGCGGGCACAUGGUGCUGAAGCAAAAGAAAGAUUAUGAAGAGGCAUCAGAGGACUAUGCUUGGAGGCUGCUGGCUGAGGUCUCCCUCUCUGAAGAAAGGUUUCAAGAAGUCAAAGCUUGUAUCUUUGAAGCCACAGGUUUGGUGGAGGCCGAAGUGGAAGAUACAGAUGCGAACGAGAAUAAAGGAACUUAUCAGUCUACCACAGCUUCCAAUACUCAUUUCCCAGAAGGCUGUCUGGUUCUACAGUGAAUGAUGAGCCUUCAUCUGCUACUGCUGUUUGCUUUCGCUUGCUUGCUUCUGUACCAAAUAAGGGCCGUUAUGGUGCUGUUUUGUGCAGGAACGUUGCCUGAGGACUUGUUUUUCUUCAGUGUGUGCUCUUUGUUGUUGGCUUAUGUUCCAAUUUUCAGACUGCCAAGCAGAUGCUGAAUCUAUUGUUUGUUUUCAACCCAUAUCUAGUUCUAUCAUGUUCUCGUUCUCAUUGAUGUUUCUAAUGAAGUCUAUGGGCCUAAAAUGAGUACCAAGACAACUAGUGAGAGCAUGUAAAAAUGAGUACCGAGAUGUUUGACACAAUUUGAAAAGCUAGUGAUUACGGCCAACCACUUUUGAUCGAUAGAAUCGUGGUUCUUUUCCAACCUGUGCGUAAAGUCUGCGCGUAAUGAAGAUAGGAGAAGUGAGGGAGUUCUAUUUUGUCCAUUUUCAAUUCAGUAUGGUUCUGUCCCUUCUGUAAUGUCAGAUGAAUAAAUAUACUAAUUCUGCUUCUGUCGUGCUUCUUUUACUGGUUCUGAAUGACAUCUAUUUAAAACCUUGGAGUUGAGGGAGCAGCAGAAGUAUGGGUUUAAAAAGAUCAUCUUCCGAAGAACCAAAUGAUUGUAAUCAUGAAAAAAAUCUCCGAGCUAUAGAAACUGAGGAAGUGACUUUCCUACCUACAAUGUGCUCG